GUUUGGGCCCUCUAGUCCACUCUAGGGUUUUGUUGACUUGUCAUCAUCGUUCAGGAGAAAAUAUGGCUCUGCGGUCUGUCGUUUCACUCACUGGACUCCGUCGUUUAACGGACGGUAGCUCUCCGGUCGGCCGAUCAUCGGCCAUGAGUCUCCGUUGCUUCAGUGAUGGAUCGGGUCGGGUCCUCAGCGAGGAAGAGCGUGCCAAAGAGACAGUCUAUAUUAAAAAAAUGGAGAAGGAGAGGCUGGAGAAGAAGAAGAAAGAAGAAGAGAAAGCCAAAGCUGAGGCAGAGAAAUCGGGGAAGAGCAAGGAAGAAGGAACUCACUAGAGCUGAAGUGGACUGGAGCUCUGACUUGUUGAAUUCUUGCUUCCAUGUAGUCAUGGCAAAAUAAAUGUGUUAUGCAAAACAGCAAAAUCUUAAGUCAUAAAAAGAGUGCAAAACAUCAAUGCUAUCUGACUAUCUGAGCAAGAUAUGCUUUACUGUUCCUUCAUUUUCAGUGACUAGUUUCUAGACUUUCAUGGGGGCACUCAAUAUAGUUUGACAUGGCAAAUUCCAAACUUUUGCUUAUAAAUCUGCCCAGAAUUUAUU